UACAGAGGGUGCGAGCGUUAAUCGGAAUUACUGGGCGUAAAGGGCGCGUAGGCGGCCUGCUAAGUCGAACGUGAAAUCCCUGGGCUCAACCCAGGAACUGCGUCCGAUACUGGUUGGCUUGAAUCCGGGAGAGGGACGUGGAAUUCCAGGUGUAGCGGUGAAAAUGCGUAGAUAUCUGGAGGAACACCGGUGGCGAAGGCGACGUCCUGGACCGGUAUUGACGCUGAGGCGCGAAAGCCAGGGGGAGCAAACGGG
rnacentral:rRNA from 1 species